UACGCGGCAGUCAUUACCUUGGAAUAAUGGAAUAGGACUACGGUCUCUUUGUUGGUUUGAGGGACUGCAGUAAUGAUUAAUAGGGAUAGUUGGGGGCAUUAGUACUUAACUGUCAGAGGUGGAAUUCUCAGAUUUGUUAAAGACUGACUUAUGCGAAAGCAUUUGCCAAGGAUGUUUUCAUUAAUCAAGAACGAAAGUCAGGGGAUCAAAGACGAUCAGAUACCGUCCUAGUCUUAACCAUAAACUAUGCCGACUCGGGAUUGGGGGCGUGUUCUAUCCGCCUUCAGCACCGUAUGAGAAAUCAAAGUCUCUGGGUUCUGGGGGGAGUAUGGUCGCAAGGCUGAAACUUAAAGGAAUUGACGGAAGGGCACCACCAGGCGUGGAGCUUGCGGCUCAAUUUGACUCAACACGGGAAAACUUACCAGGUCCAGACAUAGUGAGGAUUGACAGAUUGAUAACUCUUUCUUGAUUCUAUGGGUGGUGGUGCAUGGCCGUUCUUAGUUGGUGGAGUGAUUUGUCUGGUUAAUUCCGUUGACGAACGAGACCUUAGCCUGCUAACUAGUCGCGGCGAUCUCGAUCGUCGUCGGCUUCUUAGAGGGACUUUGUGGCACUAAACACAAGGAAGUUUGAGGCAAUAACAGGUCUGUGAUGCCCUUAGAUGUCCUGGGCCGCACGCGUGCUACACUGACGCCUACAGCGAGUACUUCCCAGCCCCGAGAGGCGGCUGGUAAUCAGCAAUAGGCGUCGUGAUGGGGAUAGAACUUUGGAAUUAUUGUUCUUGACGAGGAAUGCUAGUAGCGCAGGUCAUUAGCCUGCGUGAUUAAGUCCCUGCCCUUUGUACACACCGCCCGUCGCUCUACCGAUUUCGAGUGUUCCGGUGAAUCUUUCGAC
rnacentral:rRNA from 1 species